UGACUAUCCACAGGCAGGGCUAGAAAAGGGAGUGGAACAUUUUACUUAGGCAGGAAGCACUGAAGAGAAGAAUCUUUUUUUCAGUAGACAUUUGUGGGAAAUAAAAAUUUGUUUAGAAGAAUUUAGGCCAAGAGAUAAAAUGGUCUUCUUUUGACUGAGGAGAGAUAAGAUAGAUUUUAAGCAGACAUCUGAAGUUAAAGGGUGAGAGAAGGAAGAUAAACUGGGUGAUUUUGCUCACCUAAGAAGGUACACAGAUCCAAAGAAAAAGAGAUUCGGAGAGGUGUCUCCAGCUUCUGAUUUUGAUGACAUCUCCCAGAGAGGACCGUGUUGCCAUCACCAUCCCAGAGUCUGAAAGUGUCCAGGGAAAUAUCAAUGAAAUCAUGGAAUUUUGAAGAAGAUACAACAAUUUUAUUUCUGCUACAACAGACGUUCUGCUAAUGGAACAGAAGUCAGCGAAGGACCUAUUAGGUUUUAGGUCACUUAUUACUCAAAGUUUAUACAUUCUACACUAAGUUAUUUAUUGCUCAAAUUUAUCUCAUAUUUAUUCCUAGAUUGUGUGUAUUAAUACAAGGCCCAGAAAAGUUGAAUAAUGUACAGUAUAUUUCAAGUAUUAUAAUUAAAAACUUAGAGAUUUAGCCCAGGUUUAUCUGAACCAAUAUCUUCUGUUUUUUUCACUCAAAUAUUUUGAGGAUGAGCAUUAUUUAGCAGUGAAUAGGUGUGUUCUUAGGCUUGACUUUGGAAUCAGCGAAAGAGAUAUUAGCAAAAGUGGUAUGAUGAAACUGACACUCCAUAUGUGCUUUAUGGGAGUUGUGUUUUCCUGAUUCUUCAUGGUCCAUGUAGAUGUGUUGAUGUCUGUGCAACUGAAGGAACAAUCACCUCUUCCAGUAUUUAUAGACUGCUUUUUGCAGGGUCUGCAGGCCUGCCUCUGUGAGUACAGAUGGGUUUGUCUCCAGUGUGUGGGUACACCUGCCUGUGGACUGAGCUGAUCAGGGUUGAAGCUAGGUCACAGAGAUGCUUCAGGAGUUGAAGUUGGAACUGCAGUCAGCCAGCCUGUUACCCAAGAGACAAGCAGGAAUACAUUAUCUUUUGUUUUAUGCUGAAGUAGAGUGCAGCAAGCAAAAAGCAGCAAAAGACACAUAAUCAAAGUACUUGGAAUGCUGACUGUAAAAUUAUGCUGAGAACUGGCUGCAUGAUAAGAUGCUUUUCCUUCCUCUUUGUUAUUUGUAUUAUUUUGUAAAGAUAGGCCAGUGUGAGUAUGUCCAAAUAAGCUAAUAAUCUAUUUCCCUUAAAAUUUCAGCAAAUAUUCAAGAGAAUAAAAAUGUAAGUUAUUGUCCACACAGCUAAUGUUAAUUUUUCAUUAACAUAAUUUAAGUCUCGGUGAUAGUUUGAAAAUGUUCAUAAUGUUCAUUAUCUAAUAAAAUAGAUAAUUGUGGAAUUAUCUAACUCGUAGAAGAUUAAUUGUGGAAGAGUUGUUUGUAUAUUUGUAACUGUCUCGUUUUUAGUAAAACCAAUUUUUUUUUCUGAGUUAAAAUAUUAAACAAUGAAAAAGUAAACUCAAUAAAUGUAAUUCAGUGCCUUGCAUAAUAGAAAAAUGUUAACAAGGUAAAAGCUGUUAAAAUUGGGAUGGUUUCAAAUUUUAAUGUGAAAAUUUCUGUGAUAAUUUAAUCUGCUAAUAUAAUGUUUAACUCUAGAUCUCUUUCUUGUGACAUGGCUCGAUGCAAUUUAGGUUGCUGUCAUUAAAAUUCUACAAGCACAUCAUACAGGCCUAUCUGCAGUGUACC
rnacentral:lncRNA from 10 species